rfam:[Clostridium] cellulosi genome assembly, chromosome: I
AUACCUUUUAAUUCGGUCCUGUGAGGCCGAAAAGGGUUGGUUUUAUCAGUUUUUGGAAUUUAUAAAGAUAAUAAAACAGCCCGGGUAUCAUAACCUGGGCUGUAUUUUUAU